GGGGGGGGGGGGGGGGGAACCCGCAGCAACCGCAACGUUUCGGCCGGGUCAAACUUUGCGGCAAAGUGACCCGAGCCCCGGCCCCGAGCGGCUCCGUCCGCAGCCCCGCAGCCACAUCGCGCUCCGGAGCGCAGCGCAGCGCAGCGGCUCUCCGUGCCCCGCACCGCCCGCCCUGCAGCGCUCAGCCCCAUCCCUCCCCCUGCAUUUCGCUUUUAAACUGCAGCUGUUGAAGCUAAACCUCCUUUGCAGAAACAGCAUUUCCUCCCACGUGGCCGUGAAUUGUGGGUAAUGUAGUUUUUGUACAAAUAAAGGGUAGGGGCUUUUUCCUUCUUCUUCGUCUUCCUUUUUUUUUUUUCUUUUCCUUUUUUCCUUUCUUCUCUCCUUCCUCCCUUCUUUUGUUCCCUCCUCCCCUCCCUCUUUUCUUCCUUCCUUCCCUCCUUCUCUCCUUCCCUUCCCCCCUCCUUCCUUCCUUUCUUCUUUCCCUCUCUCUCUCCCACUUUUCCACCCUUCCUCCCUUCCUUCCUCCCCUCCUUUUCUUUUUCUCAGCUCAGAUGCAAUGCGUUUUCUCGCAGUAUUGGUGAAGGUUUUUCUCCCAGCUGGUCGAUUCACUGAAGGGAUGCUCUCCAAACCUGCAGCCCUGGUUCAAGCAAUGGGAACGCAAAGCUCUCUGAGCAGCAGCUGGGGCAGGCAAUGGGAGAGCCAGAGGCCGCAGUGCGCUGGGUACUGAGGAUAGCGUUAGGGGUCGGUGCCACCCAGCAGAGCUCAGCACCAGGUGUGCACAUGUUGGGCAAUAGCUGCUGUGUGCUGAGCGUCGCACACCUACCUUGAUGCUCUCCUAAAGGGGAAACCCCCUGCGCUGAGAGCCAAGAAUGAUUUUGCGCUGCUCGCAGUGCUGCACGGCUGCCUGGAGCUGAGGAAACUCCUGUUACUCCUUCGUGCCCCGCGCUCACUGCAGACUCAGCACCUUGCAACAGCAAACUCAGCAUUUUCCAAUAUCUGUGCGCUUCUUGUCUGGCCUCCAGCAAAGAUGGGAGCCACGAGUUGCCUCUGGAGAGGGAAUGCCACAGGCAGGGCAGAUACCCUCCCGCUGCUCCUGCUGGCUCCGAGGUCCUGGGGGGCUCCUGCCCAUGCGUGCCUGGGAGCCCUGCUCCAACCCCGUGCACCUUGCAGCUGGGUGCUGCCCUUCCGUGCAGGGUGUGCACCGAAGACCUUUGUGCCAAUGAUGUGGCAGGGAGUGCAACCAUUGCCGUGUAUUGUUACGGUUUUCUUCCUAUGUUUCUCAAAAUGUCAGCUAAAUAUUUACCUGCUUGAAACUUCUCAGGAUGUCUGUGAAGGGUGCCGUUACCAGCCUUGAAACAGAGGGAAAAACUAAGAAUGAGUCCAGGAGGUGCAGGAAAGAAUGAAAUGAGCAUCUCCCAAUGAAAAAUCCAGUUUCUUCAGCAACCUCCAGAAGGUGCUGAAAUACUUUGACAUUUUCCAAGACUCUUUCACACCUUUCAAACAAGCUUGUCACAGUUUCUCAGAGCAUUAUGAAUUUGGUGAAGCUGCAUGUUCUGAGAUCCCAGCUCCUCUCUAGUUUCACCCCUGCUUUGCUUCAACUUGGCAUUCUCCCAUGUUCUGGUCGACUAGGAAAUGGCAUUAUCUCACUCUAAUUAAAUCAGCUUUUCAUCUUCAGCUGGAGUUUGCUUCGGUGUUGGCCAUGCCUGCCUCCAUUGCUCCGGUCAGUGUGAUUGAAUCACUGUGCCUCACGCAGCGUGGUUGCUGUGCCUUGCUGGUGGAGUUGGUUUUUGAGGCCAAGUACCAGCUGGGAGGAGCUGGUGAUGCUGGGGGUUGCUUUCCUUCCACUGUGUGCUUGAUGCUCCAUCCAUCACUGCCCUGUAGUGUGGUCCCAUCAGCCUCGUGCUUUCCAGGCUUGCUGAAAGGCAGAUUCUCCUUUCCUAUGAAAGAGAACAGCCCCACUGAUGGGACACUGCUGCUCUCCUCUCCUGCUCUGCUCUCACCACGAGCAGCACAUGCUUCCUUCACGCCUGUCACAUUCUGGCCCCAGUGUGCCAUGCAGAGCAAAGCCCCACGUCCACAAAUGUGUCAGAGGACAGACAGGCACCAGAUGAAAGCAGCUCCCAGUGCAGGGUAUUUUUUCCCCGUGACACCUCCCGAGGAACGUGCUCAGUAAUAGCUCAGCAUCCCCAGCAGGGGAGGGGACAAGAGGUGACGAGCCAAGCCGCUCUAUUUCUGCAGGUUCCUGGCCACCAUCACAUUAACUCUUUGCACACAGAUGCUUGCAAGGAGCCUUGCACCACAGCAGCCCUGCAGCAGGUGGCAUCGAGGUGUCCCUCGUGGGCUGCCUCAACCCCAACAGAAAUUCCUGAGGUGGAAGGAGCUGCACUGAUGUGUUGGGAAGGAGGGGAAGAGCUCUUCCCGCAGCCCACAGGCGCUGUCACAUGCUCGAGAUAGGCUCCUAGAGGAUGUGAUUCAGAAAUAAGUUGAUGUGUGUUAUUUUCCUUUGAUUCAUAAGCAAAACCCAAGAGGGAGUGAGGGCUCCAGCACGGAUUUGCUGGCCCAGCAUGGCAGUGUGGGUGUCAGACGGGCACAGUGUGCGGCUCAGCUCGAGGAUUGGAGAACCACAGACAAGAAGCACAAAGUUCUGCUUGCUGCCUCACAAAGCCAAGAACCACCUUUAAUUUAGCACUCAGGCUCUGCUGUACAUUUUGUAUAAGGCUUUUAAAGAGACACGGGUGCUGUUUCACAGUGUUACCCGUACCAACGCUGACCUUUAUGACUCCUCAUUCCCAUGGGGAAGCAGCAGCACGGAUCCAGGAGCGGCGCCCAUUUUGCCGCCUGGUGCCACGCUCACCUUCCCCACCUCCCUCUGCGGGGCCCCAGGGCUGCGGCGCUGCCAUGCUGGGGCUGAUGCCACCACUGCUGUGUGCAGCUCAGGGACGGGCUCUGCUGUCACCUGCUCUGAGCGCGGGGUCUGCGAUGCGAUGCGGGAUGACACGGCAGAAAGGCGUGCUGUAUUUAGGGCACGCUCAGCGCCGGGGGCAGGGGGAUGGGAAUUCAUUAGCAGCGCAGUGUCUCUUUUAAUCAGAAGGUGCUGCUCGGCUGGGGCUGGAGGCAGGGCAGCUAUGGAUGCCGUGCCAGGCAGGGGAUGGGGCUGGGGGUGUUUGCAAGGCGUUCACAUCAGGGAGAGGGAAAUGUUAUUGAGAGUGCCCCUGUGGGGAGGAGAGACAGAACAGAGCGGGCCGGGAGGGAUCCAGGUUGUGCCCUUUGCAGGGUAGUCACCGAGUGAUGCCCAGUUUGGAGGCUGCACUGACUGCCACAGGAGCACUGUGGUCGCUCCCAGCACUGAUGCUCUCUUCCAUUGAUGAUGCUCUGAUAUUAAAACGUGAAUUACACUACCAAAAAAAAAAAACCAAAAAAAAAAACCAAACUACAUUUCCCAGUUUCCCUUGCAGCUCUGGGAAAUAAGCUAUUGGAAGAUUUAAAUAGACCAGGCCAGAAGCAACCAACCUUUGGCACAAAGCAUUUCCCUCCUCUUCUUCCAAUCUAUUGGCUGUUUAACCUUUUUCCCUGCCACUGGAGUGGCUGCCAAGCCUGGCAUUAAUUUUCCUUCCAAGCUUGCUAGGCCCAUGAAGUAAACAGCCAUGUGCAUUCCUUACUCUAUAUUUAACAGCUGCAGACUGUGCUGGGGGCAACUGCAACAGAGGGGAACCUUUGUAGCUUCCCAAAUUCACAGCUCGUGAGGGUGGGCGUGGGGAAGAUUUCUGCAGGGAGAAGAGGGAUUUCUCUCCUCCCUGGUAUUUGCAAAGCAGUUCAAUUAGAGAAAGACUGCAAUGCCAGCAUCCCAGACUCGGUCCAGAGCGCGAGACAGGAACAAUGUCCUCAACAGGGCUGAGUUCCUCUCCUUGAACCAGCCCCCGAAAGGGACCCAGGAGAGCAGGAGCUCGGGCAGGAAGCAGAGCGGCCAAACAGCGGCGGCCGGAACCCAGAACAGCAGCCCCAAGGAGCAGAGGCAAUCGCAGCAGCUGCCCGAAGAGGACUGCAUGCAGCUCAACCCCUCCUUCAAGGGAAUCGCCUUCAACUCCCUGCUGGCCAUCGAUAUCUGCAUGUCCAAGCGGCUGGGGGUGUGUGCCAACAGAGCCUCGUCCUGGGGGGGUGCCCGCUCCAUGAUCAACCUGCUGGGGAUAACGGGGCACGGCAUCCCCUGGAUCGCAGGUACGCUCAUCUGCCUGGUGAAGAGCAGCACGCUGGCGGGCCAGGAGGUCCUCAUGAACCUGCUGCUAGCAAAUGCCAAACAGAGAAGCACGAUCUCAGCCUGUUACUGAAAAGAUGGAAGAAAUCGGCCGUCUGUGCCCACUAUCAAAAUCAUUCUGCCAGAAUGUGCUUUCAGGAAGACUGCCUUGGUACUGCCAGGCCUGGCUGCGAAAGAGUCAGGAGGAAAGUCUGCUCCCCCUCUGCCUCACUGCAGAAAUCAGAGCUUGGGAAGGCUCCCAGCUAAAGCUCGCUUUAUUUGUGUGGCACUGUUGGAAUUUCAGGGCCAGUCAGGCUGUUCUUUGCAGUCACAAGAAUCUCGUGGAAACUGAAAUGCUUAGAAAACCAUUUGAACCUUGCAACUGGGUUUUCAGAGGGAAGGCAGAUAUAAAGCUGUCAUCACUGGAGCUUCUCUAGAACCAGGCAGAAGAGCUGUUGAACUCUUGAGGGAAAGCAGUGCCUUGGUUUCUGGUUCUGAUCCAUCUGGAGAGAGCAUGGAUCCGAACGCAGUGAUUCAUUGGCUGCUAAGCCAGCAAAGAACGUUUGGAUCACUGAUCGAACCCACAGCAAAAUACAGGCGGUAGCACAUCCCUGAAUUUAUUCCUGUUCAAUUUGCUAAGGGAAAAAACCCAAACACUCAAUCAGACGUAAGAUUUGGAGUGGCGCUGAACUUGUCUGAACCAUUUCUGUAUCACAGAAUACAGAAUGCAGGGGUAGGUGAUCUCACAAGUGCAUUGCUCUUAGUUUGACUGCUCCCUGCCCUCCGUUGCCUCCGCACACCAUUGUCUCUUCAGCUGAAUAGCUCUUUUAUCCAGCAUCCCUUCUGCCUUUCAAUAUUUUGGACAGUGCUCAAGUCACCUUUUCACCUCCUAUUCAUUAAGCUUAACAGACUGAUCUCGUUAGACUGAUUGUCUUUCCAGAUUUGAGCACCUUCGUAGAGUAAGGAGGGAUGGAAUAUGGUGAUCUACCAUAGGGAGGCCAGGACUGUUUCUGCAGGCCUGGAGGUCAGCAAGAAUUCAGUCCAUGCUCUCCCCGUGGAUGCAGACCUAGCAUUAGUCCAACUGGGAACAAAGCCAUAACGCUGUGAGGCACAUCGCCCUGCAGAACGGCGACUUCAUUCUGAGCCCUAUAUAUAUGUAUUUAUAAAUACAUACAGAGAGAUCUCUGGAGGCCGUCAUGCAGCCUCCACACAAGAGCAAACUGCCAGGAAAGUGGUAGUUUAAGGGAAAAUGAAGAAAGAAAUGCCUUCCCCGGGUCCCUCAAAGACCCUCUGACCCUCCUCUAGCCGUACAGAGGGACUUUGUGUAUGGAGCUGCUUUCCUUCGGAAUCCACGCAGUGAAGAUUCGGAUCGUACAGCCCGCUGCUGUUAAAGCCCUGCUGUUGGACAUCAUGAUCGUGGCCGGGUUGCAGAAGUUGGCCAAGCGCAAGGGUCCGUACGACAUCAGCCCCGGGCUCUUGGAC